UGGGGAAUCUUGCGCAAUGCGCGAAAGCGUGACGCAGCAACACCGCGUGAGGGAAGACGGCCUUCGGGUUGUAAACCUCUUUCAGAUGGGACGAAGGUGAUGCGGUGAAUAGACGAUGUCAUUGACGGUACCGUCAGAAGAAGCUCCGGCUUACUACGUGCCAGCAGCCGCGGCCAUACGUAGGGGGCGAGCGUUGUCCGGAGUCAGUGGGCGUGACGACGGUGUAGGCGGAUCGGUUAGUCUGCUGUG
rnacentral:rRNA from 1 species